CCUACGGGAGGCAGCAGUGGGGAAUAUUGGGCAAUGGGCGCAAGCCUGACCCAGCAACGCCGCGUGAAGGAAGAAGGCUUUCGGGUUGUAAACUUCUUUUGUCAGGGACGAAGCCAGUGACGUUACCUGACGAAUAAGCCACGGCUAACUACGUGCCAGCAGCCGCGGUAAUACGUAGGUGGCAAGCGUUAUGCGGAUUUACUGGGUGUAAAGGGCGUGUAGGCGGGACUGCAAGUCAGAUGUGAAAACCACGGGCUCAACCUGUGGCCUGCAUUUGAAACUGUAGUUCUUGAGUACUGGAGAGGCAGACGGAAUUCCUAGUGUAGCGGUGAAAUGCUUAGAUAUCACGAAGAACUCCGAUUGUGAAGGCAGCUCACUGGAUUGCAACUGACACUGAGGCUCGAAAGUGUGGGUAUCAAACAGGAUUAGAUACCCCUGUAGUC
rnacentral:rRNA from 1 species